rnacentral:rRNA from 1 species
AUAGAACGCUAGCGGCAGGCUUAAUACAUGCAAGUUGGAGGGGCAGCAUGAUAUACGCGAGUAUAUUGAUGGCGACCGGCGGACGGGUGAGUAAUAGGUAGGAGACCUACCUCAUACAGGGGGAUAGCAUAGAGAAAUCUGUGGUAAUACCCCAUGAGGUUAUAUGAAUAGAGGCAUAUAAUCAAAGCAUAAGCGAUUAUGCGGUAUGAGAGGGGCCUACUGACCAUUAGCUAGUUGGUGAGGUAAGGGCUCACCAAGGCGAAGAUGGUUAGGGGUUUUGAGAGAGAGACCCCCCACAUUGGAACUGAGAGACGGUCCAGACUCCUACGGGAGGCAGCAGUAGGGAAUAUUGGGCAAUGGGCGAAAGCCUGACCCAGCCAUGCCGCGUGAAGGAAGACGGCCUUAUGGGUUGUAAACUUCUUUACUACGCGAAUAGAGGUUAGUACGAGAUACUAAUAGGAAGGUAGUGUAGUAAAAAGCACCGGCUAACUCCGUG